CUCACUUGGGCUGGAGCUGGAGUGGUGCAGUAGGGCAAUCAUAGCUCACUGCAGCCUUGAACUCCUGGGGUCAAGUGAUCCUCCCACCUCAGCCUCCUGAGUAGCUGGGAUUACAGGCACAUGCCACCACACUGGGCUAAUUUUUCCUUUUUUGUAGAGAUGAGGAUCUCCAUGUGUUGCGCAGGCUGAUUUUGAACUCUUGGGCUCAAGUGAUCCUCCUACUUCAGCCUCCCAAAGAGCUGGGAUUCACAAGCGGGAGCCACCACACCCAGCUGAGUAAAAUUAUCUUGAUCGCGACUAACAAUUGCUGCAGGCACAGGCAGACGUGUUUUUAAGUGAUCAGUAUUUUCUUGCUUACAUCCCCAAAUUGAAAAACUAAGCCAUAAUAACAGCAACUGCCAAAAAACUGUGAAAGCCUUGCUUUUGUAAGAGGAUAGGACAAAAAUCUUUAUUUGGAUGGUGUAAUAUUUUAGUUUUCUUGGGUCAAAGUCAAGAACUAAAGUCAACUGUGAAGUCUUGGAUAAAGACCCAGUGUUAAACCAAAUCUAAUUUAAUUUUCUUUUUUUAUUCAUUGGUUCAACAUUCAUUCAUUGAGUAACUACUUGCUGACAAGCAUGAUAUGAAUGAGACAUGCUGUCUGCUCUCAAUGAGCUCGCUAUCUAGGAGAAAACGCCAACCCUGAGACUGACAAUGGCCUGCAGUGUGGCCAGUGCUGUGUGAGUGAGGCUGGGGAAGAGGCACCUACCCAAGGUGUGUUGCAGAAGGCUUCCUGGAGGUUUGCAUCUAGUCCUGAGAAAGAAGCAGUGUGUCAGGUUCCUAUUGCUGCUGGAACAAAUUGCACACACGCAGUGGCUUAAAAUCCCAGAAAUUUAUUGUCUUACAGUUCCGGAGGCCAGAAGUCUGAAGAGAGUCUUACAUGAUUAAAAUUAAAGUGUUGGGCUGGGCGCAGUGGCUCACACCUGUAAUCCCAGCACUUUGGGAGGCCAAGGUCAGGAGUUUGAGACCAGCUUAGUCAACAUGGCGAUAAGGGAGGAGACCACCCCUCGUAUUGUCUUAUGCCCAAUUUCUGCCUCCAAAGAAAGAAGAAAUAAAAACUAAAAGGCAAAAAUGAAAUCCACAAGCAGACAGCCCAGCACCACACCCUGGGCCUGGUAGUUAAAGAUCGACCCCUGAUCUAAUCAGUUAUAUUAUCUAUAGAUUACAGACACUGUAUAGAAAAGCACUAUGAAAAUCCCUGUCCUGUUCUGUUCCGUUCUAAUUACUGGUACAGACAGCCCCCAGUCACGUACCCUCUGCUUGCUCAAUCGAUCAUGACCCUCUCACGUAGACCACCUUAGAGUUGUGAGCCCUUAAAAGGGGCAGGAAUUGCUCACUUGGAGAUCUCGGUUGUCGGAGACGUGAGUCUUGCCGAAGCUCCCAGCCAAAUAAAGCCCUUCCUUCUUUAACUCAGUGUCUGAGGGGUUUUGUCUGUGGCUUGUCAUGCUUCAUUUCUUGGUUCCCUGAUCGGGAAGCAAGGUGAUGAAGGGAUGGUCGAGGCAGCCCCUUAGGCAGCUUAGGCCUGCCCUGUGGAGAAUCCCUGCAGGGUACCCCAGCCAGCUUGAGUGAUGCAGAUCCUGAGAGUGAUCCCAGGUAAGCAAUUGGCCCGGAGGAACGCCUCGCCAGAGCAGCGUGUGGCAGGCCCCCAUGGAGGAUCAAUGCAGUGGCUGAACUCCGGGAAGGAACUGGCACUUGGAGUCUGGACAUCUGAAACUUGCAGGUUUCCUAACAGGGGAUCUAAAUCUUAAUUACCAUACAAAGAUCCAACCAGACCUCGGAGGAACUCCUUUCAGGACAGGAUGAUCGAUGUUUCCUCCCAGGCUGGACUGUACUGCCGUGAUCUCGGCUCGCUGCAACCUCCCUGCCUUGGGCUCCCGUGAUUCUCCUGCCUCGGCCUGCCAAGUGCCUGGGAUUGCAGCCACGCGCUGCCAUGCCUGACUGGUUUUUGUAUUUUUGGUGGAGACGGGGUUUCGCCAUGUUGGCCAGGCUGGUCUCCAGCUCCUGACCUCGAGUGAUCUGCCUGCCUUGGCCUCCCAGGGUGCUGAGAUUGCGGACGGAGUCUCGCUCACUCAAUGCUCAAUGUUGCCCAGGCUGGAGUGCAGUGGCAUGGUCUCGGCUCGCUGCAACCUCCACCUCCCAGCCGCCUGCCUUGGCCUCCCAAAGUGCUAAGAUUGCAGCCUCUGCCCGGCCGCCACCCCAUCUGGGAAGUGAGGAGCAUCUCUGCCUGGCCGCCCGUUGUCUGGGAUGUGAGGAGCCCCUCUGCCCGGCCGCCCCAUCUGGGAAGUGAGGAGUGCCUCCGCCCGGCUGCCACCCUGUCUAGGAAGUGAGGAGCAUCUCUGCCUGGCCACCAUCAUCUGGGAUGUGAGGAGCGCCUCUGCCCGGCUGCCCCGUCUGGGAGGUGAGGAGUGCCUCUGUCCGGCUGCCACCCCAUCUGGGAAGUGAGGAGCGCCUCUGCCCGGCUGCCGCAUCUGGGAAGUGAGGAGUGCCUCUGCCUGGCUGCCCCGUUUGGGAGGUGAGGAGCGCCUCUGCCCGGCCGCCCCCGUCUGGGAGGUGAGGAGUGCCUCUGCCCGGCCGCCCCCGUCUGGGAGGUGAGGAGCACCUCUGCCCGGCCGCCACCCAGUCUGGGAAGUGAUGAGUGUGUCUGCCCAGCUGCCCCGUCUGGGAGGUGAGGAGUGCCUCUGCCCGGCCGCCCCCAUCUGGGAGGUGAGGAGCACCUCUGCCCAGCUGCCACUCAGUCUGGGAACUGAGGAGCGCCUCUGCCCAGCCACCCUGUCUGGGAGGUGUAACCAACAGCUCCGAAGAGACAGCGAUCAUCGAGAACAGGCCAUGAUGACGAUGGCGGUUUUGUCGAAAAGAAAAGGGGGAAAUGUGGGGAAAAGAAAGAGAGAUCAGAUUGUUACUGUGUCUGUGUAGAAAGAAGUAGACAUAGGAGACUCCAUUUUGUUCUGUACUAAGAAAAAUUCUUCUCCCUUGGGAUGCUGUUAAUCUAUAACCUUACCCCCAACCCCGUGCUCUCUGAAACAUGCUGUCAACUCAGGGUUACAUGGAUUAAGGGCGGUGCAAGAUGUGCUUUGUUAAACAGAUGCUUGAAGGCAGCAUGCUUGUUAAGAGCCAUCACCACUCCCUAAUCUCAAGUACCCAGGGACACAAACACUGCGGAAGGCCGCAGGGACCUCUGCCUAGGAAAACCAGAGACCUUUGUUCAUGUGUUUAUCUGCUGACCUUCUCUCCACUAUUAUCCUAUGACCCUGCCAUAACCCCCUCUCUGAGAAACACCCAAGAAUGAUCAAUAAAUACUACAAACAAACAAACAAACAAAAACAAACUUUGGCAAUUAAGACAGCAUAUCAAGAUGCAAAUGCCUCAUUGGAAUGGAUCAAAUAUUCCAUCCACACGUUAAACAAAAGCAAUUGUUAUGCUUGUGCACGUGGCAGGCCAGAGGCCCAGAUUGUUCCCUUUCCACUAAGGUGGUCCUCCAGUCGACCAGGCAUGGGCUGCCUGGUAGCUCUUUUCCAGGAUUCUACAGCCUUGAGUAAUAAGUUGUGCCAAGCUCUCUCUGCUAUAUCUGGCACGCUGCAGGUCAACGGGUCAGCCCCCAAGGGCCAUCCAGCCUCCGUCUCCCAACUCUAAGUUCACUUCGUGUCUCUCAUGACUGGGAGGAAACUUAGAUUCCUUAGACCUGAAGGGAUGUAGUGAGCUUAAAAAUUUUCAAGAGCUUAUCAAUCAGUCAGCCCUUGUUCAUCUCCAAGUGGAUGUGUGGUGGUAUUGUGGUGGACCUUUACUGGGCACUCUGCUGAAUAACUGGAGUGGCACUUGUACUUUAGUCCAAUUGGCUAUCCCUUUCACCCUGGCAUUUCAUCAACCAGAAGGAGAAAAAAUAAGGCAUCGUAAAGCGAGAGAAGCCCCUUAUGGGUCUUUCAACUCUCAUGUUGAUUUAGACACAACUGGAGUCCUACGGAGAAUACCAGAUCAAUUUAAACUUGAAAUCAAAUAGCUGCAGGAUUUGAGUCAAUAUUUUGGUAGGUGACAGUUAAUAAAAAUAUAAAUUGGAUAAAUUACAUCUAUUACAACCAACAGCAAUGAGCUUUUCAUGAGUUAAAAGAAAAACUCAUGUCGGCUCCAGCCCUGGGGCUACCUGACCUGACAAACCCUUUACACCCUAUGUGUCAAAAAGAGAAAAAAUGGCAGUUGGAGUUUUAACGCAGGCUGUGGGGCCCUGGCCAAUGCCAAUGGCCUAUCUCUCAAAACAACUAGAUGGGGUUUCCAAAGGCUGGCCCCCAUGUCUAAGGGCCCUGGCAGCAACAGCCCUGUUAGCACAAGAAGCAGAUAAACUAACCCCUUGGGCAAAACCUGAAUAUAAAGGCCCCCCAUGCCGUGGUAACUUUAAUGACUACCAAAGGACAUCAUUGGUUAACAAAUGCUAGAUUAACCAAGUACCAAAGCUUGCUAUGUGAAGAUCCCUGCAUAACCAUUGAAGUUUGCAACAACCUAAACCCCGCCACCUUGCUGCUGGUGUCAGAGAGCCCAGUUGAACAUAACUGUGUAGAGGUGUUGGACUCAGUUUAUUCUACCAGGCCCAACCUCCGAAACCAUCCUGGAACAUCAGUAGACUGUGAGCGGUACAUGGACGGGAGCAGCUUCGCCAACCCCUGCUAAGUGACUCUGAAGAAGACGACAAGCCCUGCUCCAGUCACACCCGGAAGCUGACUGGUCCACACACAGCUGAAGCAUGAGAAAACUCAUCAUGGGACUCAUUUUCCUUAAAAUUUGGACUUGUACAGUAAGGACUUUAACUGACCUUCCUCAGACUGAGGACUGCUUAGAGUGCAUACAUCAAGUCACUGAGGUAGGACAAAAAGUUGCUACAGUCUUAUUAUUUUAUGAUUAUUAUAAGUGUACUGGGACAAAAAAAAAAAAAAAACUUGUUUGUAUAAUGCUAUUCUAUGCAAGGUAUGUAGCCCAGGAAAUGACCAACCUCGUGUGUGUUAUGACCCAUCUGAGCCUCCCGUGACCACAGUUUUUGAAAUAAGAUUAAGGACUGAGGGCUGGUGAAGGCUUAUAAACGAUAUGAGUAAGGUGUUAGCCAAAACAAAAGAAAAAGGGUUGCCCAAACAAGUCACCUUAAAGUUUGAUGCCUGCGCUGUCAUUAAUAGUAAUAAGUUAGAAAUAGGAUGUGGUUCUCUUAAUUAGGAAAGAGGCUGUAUGGAAGAAAAUAAGUACAUUUGUCAUGAAUUAGGACUGUGUGGAAAUAAUGUGGAUACUGUUCUUGUGUCAUUUAGGCUACUUGGAUAAAAAAUAAAAAGGAUCCUGUCCACCUUCAGAAAGGGAAAACUGGCUCUUUCUGUACCAGUGGUCAGUGUAACACCUUGGAACUAGUAAUAACCAAUCCCUUGAUCCUCACUGGAAAAAGGGAAGCGUGUAACCCUAGGAAUCAAUGGGGCUGGACUGGAUCCUCAAGUAAAUAUCGUGGUUUGAGGAGAAGUUUAUAAACCCUCUCCUUAGCCAGUAUUUCAAACCUUCUGUGAUAAAGUGACUGUGCCAGUACCAGAAAUUCCAGGAAAAACAAGAAAUUUGUUUUUGCAAUUAGCUGAGCAUGUAGCCCAGUCUCUCAAUGUCACUUCAUGUUAUGUAUGUAGAUAUGUAGAGGAACUGUAAUGGGAGAUCAAUGGCCAUAGGAAGCCCGAGAAUUAGUACCUACAGACCCAGUUCCUGAUGAAUUCCUGGCUCAAAAGAAUCACCCUGAUAACUUCUAGGUCCUAAAAGCCUCAAUCAUUAGACAAUACUGUAUAGCAAAAGUAAGGAAGGACUUCACCCUUCCUGUGGGAAGACUCAGCUGCCUUGGGCAAAAACUGUAUAAUAAUACUACAAAAACAGCCACCUAGUGGAGUUCAAACCACACUAAGAAAAAUCCAUUUAGUAAAUUCCCAAAGUUGCAAACUGUGUGAACCCACCUGGAGUCCCACCGGGACUGGACAGCCCCCACUGGAUUAUACUGGAUAUGUGGGCAUAGAGCUUAUACCAAAUUACCCAACCAGUGGGCAGCUAGUUGUGUUCCUGGCACUAUUAAACCAUCUUUCUUCCUACUGCCCAUAAAGACAGGCAAACUCCUGGGCUUCCCUGUCUGUGCUUCCUGCAAAAAGAGAAGCAUAACUAGAAAAUUAAAAAGAUGAUAAAUGGCCCCCUGAGAGAAUCAUACAAUAUUAUAGGCCUGGCACUUAGGCACAAGACGGCUUAUGGGGAUACCCGACUCCCAUUUACAUGCUCAACUGAAUCACACAGUUACAAGUUGUCUUAGAAAUAAUCACUAAUAAGACCAGCAGAGCCUUGACUAUUCUGGCCUGGCAAGAAACUCAGAUGAGAAAUGCUAUCUAUCAAAAUAGAUUAGUUCUUGACUACUUGCUAGCAGCUGAAGGAGGGGUCUGUAGGAAAUUUAACCUUACUAAUUGCUGUCUACACAUAGAUGAUCAAGGGCAAGUAGUUGAAGACAUAGAAAUAUGACAAAACUGGCACAUGUGCCUGUGCAAGUGUGGCAUGGAUUUGAUCCUGGGGCCAUGUUUGAGAAAUGGUUCCCAGCAUUAAGAACAUUUAAAACUCUUAUAGUAAGAGUUAUAAUAGUAAUAGAAACCUACUUGCUGCUCCCUUGUUUGCUACCUGUAUUUCUUCUUCAAAUGAUAAAAAGCUUCAUCGCUACGUUAGUUCACCAAA